ensembl:lncRNA
UUUGCAGGGAUUCCCUUUUCAUAUCAACACCGAGGAAUGUUUCAAUGGCAUACAGCAACCUUGAAAAAGGUGACCUGCACUUACAUGUAUGUGGUAAUAUCAGGUGGACACCUCCACUUGGAUGAAGGAAUGCGAUUAUAACUCUCUCCUUACAGUGAUUCAGAGUUUGAACCAGACUCUUGGACUCUGCUUGCCAGCAUCCACAACCAGAACUCCUUGUUUGUGGUGGGAAAGAAGAUCGUGAUGUGUCUGGCAGCAGCUAACAACCAGGAUGUGGUUGGUGUGCAGCUGCCUUAUGAGUCUCUGAUUCAAUUCCUGAGAAGUCCUUCAGAAAUCGAUUGUAACAGAGCUCAUUGGGGGUCUUGUCAGGGUGCUUGCAACUCCCUGUGUAAAAUGACAGAUUUUUAAAUCUGAAAGAUUUUGAUUUAUAUAGAAAACAGGACUCUAAUAUGUCAAGCAAUUUUUCUCAUCUGUGCAGGUCCACUAUUACAACUUCC